AUUGAACGCUAGCGGCAGGCCUAACACAUGCAAGUCGAGCGAGCGGCGGACGGGUUAUUAAUGUCUGUGAAACUGCCUGAUGGAUAGGGAUAACUACUGGAAACGGUAGCUAAUACCGCAUACCAUCAGAUGUGCCCAGAUGGGAUUUGCUAGUGGGUGGGGUAACGGCUCACCUCGGCGACGAUCCCUGGCUGGUCUGAGAGGAUGACCAUCCACACUGGAACUGAGACACGGUCCAGACUCCUACGGGAGGCAGCAGUGGGGAAUAUUGCACAAGGGGGGAAAGCCUGAUGCAGCCAUGCCGCGUGUAUGAAGAAGGCCUUCGGGUUGUAAAGUACUUUCAGCGGGGAGGCGUUACCCGCAGAAGAAGCACCGGCUAACUCCGUGCCAGCAGCCGCGGUAAUUC
rnacentral:rRNA from 1 species